ensembl:Y_RNA Y_RNA Y RNA
GGCUGGUCUGAAGAUGGUGAGUUAGUGAUUGUUCACAGUCAGUUACAGAUUGAACUCCUUGUUCUACUCUUUCCCCUCAUCUCAUGACCACACUUGACUAGUUAAA